AAAGAAAAAUAGUGAGACAAGUCGUAUUCGGAUUUUAACUAUAUGUGGAUAUUUAUUACUUUAUUCAACACAAUGUCACUACACAUUUUAUCAAUCUGGCAAUAGGUUUUCACCCAGAUGAACAAGAAGAAGGAAAAAAAAAGUUACUACCAGAAACAGAGAAACUCAAAAUGUAUGAUAAUAUAAUUCAUUACAAGCUACAACUAAAAGCAACAGAUUUUCCUCUCUUGAAUACUGGGCUUGUGGGCUAUGCAUAUGGUCUCAUUCCUCUUCAACCAUGAGGUACCAAAUUAAACUGAGAAAUUUAAAGCCUCAUAAUUCUCUGCCACUAAUGGUGCUGGUGUGGGACUAUCUGCUUGCAUUUCUUGGAACUUGGUUUUUUGGUGAAGUUUUCUGCUGAGGAAGAAGGUGGAGAAAGGGCAGGGCAGAAAACAGAGGAAGCCCAUUCCACCAUGGAAUCAAAAACCAUUUUCUUCACCAACUUUCUCUUUGAUGGAAAAACACUUCCCGUCUUGGGUUUGAGCCCAUAAUUAGGCUCUAACUUCUUUGUCUUCACCUGAUCCACCUCCAUUUCUGCUGCUUUCUCUCUUCAGUUCUUUCUCAACACCUUGUUUCUUUCUCUCAGAUUUUGGUACACAGGGAGAGGGCAAAAACGCCUCUUA
rnacentral:lncRNA from 1 species